GACGAACGCUGGCGGCGUGCUUAACACAUGCAAGUCGAACGGAAAGGCCCUGCUUUUGUGGGGUGCUCGAGUGGCGAACGGGUGAGUAACACGUGAGUAACCUGCCCUUGACUUUGGGAUAACUUCAGGAAACUGGGGCUAAUACCGGAUAGGAGCUCCUGCUGCAUGGUGGGGGUUGGAAAGUUUCGGCGGUUGGGGAUGGACUCGCGGCUUAUCAGCUUGUUGGUGGGGUAGUGGCUUACCAAGGCUUUGACGGGUAGCCGGCCUGAGAGGGUGACCGGCCACCUUGGGACUGAGAUACGGACCAGAAUCCUACGGGAGGCAGCAGUGGGGAAUAUUGCACAAUGGGCGGAAGCCUGAGGCAGCAACGCCGCGUGCGGGAUGACGGCCUUCGGGUUGUAAACCGCUUUCGCCUGUGACGAAGCGUGAGUGACGGUAAUGGGUCAAGAAGCACCGGCUAACUACGUG
rnacentral:rRNA from 1 species